GAAACGUUCAUGACUGUUUCUUAACACUUUUAAAGAAUGCAUAAUAAUGCCAAAUUAAAUGUUUAACUUUAAAGUACAUUUUAAUUCAAUAUAAAUUACAUUACAUUAUUGGAUUGAGUGGUGCAGAUGGUAGUGCAAUUGCCAACAACAAUGAAAAAUACAUGAAAUCCGAAUGUGUGUCAGUCUCAUCUGUUUUUGAUUCCCAUGUCAGACAGCCAUGAGGAGCAUCUGUUCUCUCACUGCCUGAGAGAAGCAAAAGAGGCCUUUUUUUGUAUAUGGUGAGCGAUUCGUGGGAGGAAGUCCAGUAAACCGAACCUGGUGAUUCAGCACCACACCAUGCGGAGACCUUCUGGGAAACUACGUCUUAUGGCUAACUUAACGACUGCAUGCUGUCAACGUGACCAACACUCCUAAAUGCAGCAGAUAGAGAAGAUGAACGUGGCAAUGAGAGUUUGUUUUGGCCCACACUUAAAGAGCAGCAUUUCUUAAAAGAACAUCCUGAAUAAUAAGAUGACUUUUGGGAGCUUCUCAGCUUCACAUUUGCGUCCUUAAAUCUGAAGGAUGAUCAUUGUCCUGUCAUGAAAAGCUUCUUUGAAUCCAUUUCAAAUGGGUUUCUCUGAUGCCAUUCUUGUGAUUUAAUGCCUGUAUUUGGAUACUGUAAUUAGAUAUAGGAAAAUUGACAUUUAUACUGAAUAAGCAACAAUGCACAACUUUUGAGAAAAUGAGACUACAAAUAAAACAACAUUGUAAAUGUGU
ensembl:lncRNA